rnacentral:lncRNA from 1 species
UCUAGUACACCGCCAGCCAGCCUGGCUGAAGAUAUCUCCAGUCGGUUGCAUCCAGUAUUCAAAGGUUCCCACAGACGCGCAGGAAGCAUGAAAGCCCACAGUCGGAUCCAAUGGGUAGCUCUGAAAACAACCUGCAAAAAAUGUGAAACUCUGGUUCUAUUAAAAACAACAUCAUUUCUGCAGUUCCAAAUAGCCCAACAGAAAGCCGAAACUCCCAUUCGAAUAUGAGCCUUAAUUUUGUUGUCUAACCCAUUAAGCCAGUUGCCAAAUAAAUUAGUAAUCGAAGUCGGUAGAGGCAGAUUAAAAGUAAUAUAAAUGAUGCCACACAAUGCGAGCUAAAGGACACGAAAUAAAGAGGUGAUGUACAGUUUCAUCGGAGUCACAAAAAGCAACACUUUAAACUCCCCUCCCAGUUCCGUUUCGCAAGAUUCUCUUUAGUUAAAAGAACUUUGCGGUCGAGAAACCACAUAAAUAUCUUCAUUUUUGAAGGAAAAUUUUAACUUCCACAGGUAUUUCCGAUGAAAAACCGUUUGUCCUUCCAUAAAGUCUGCGUACAGACUUUACAGUAAAAAUGCCCGAGGAAGAAAGACUCCAAACAAACUUAUCCGGCUCACCAGAAAAUUGCACCAACAUCAAACGCCGAACCAAAUGCAGCCAACGCGCCCAUUUGUGUCCAUCGAGGUUCCGUCUAAAACUUAUAUUCAGAGGAACCGACGCAAAGACCGUAGCAACAGAAACAUUUUUGUGCCGCACAAUCCGAAAGAGCGAAGGAUAUUGAUGAGCAAGAGGUGAAUUUCCCAGCCAGGUGUCCUCCCAGAAACGAACUUCGGUACCAUCCCCCAGGAUAAACAUACCACGACUAAAAAAGUCUUCUUUAACUUUCAUGAGCCCUUUCCAAAAUGGAGAAUCAGUAGGUCUAAUAGACAUAUGGGAAAGGGUGUUACCACGAAGGUACUUGUUCUGUAGCAGUUCUUGCCACAUCCCUUCCUCAUUAAGGAGCUUGAAAAGCCAUUUGCUUAGCAAGCAUCUAUUUUUAAUUUCCGACAACUCAAUGUCCAAACCACCUUGGUCCUUAGGACGACAGAUGAUAUUCCAUUUGGUCAGCCUAUACUUCCGCCGAUGCUCGUCAGACUACCAGAAGAAACGAGAUCUGUAGAAAUCCAAUCUCUUGCGAACCCCGACGGGUAUUUGAAGAAAAGAUAACAUAAACAUGGGCAUGCUAGUAAGAACAGAAUUAAUGAGAGUAAGUCGAUCGCCGUAGGAAAGAAACUUACCCUUCCAACACCCCAGCUUUUUCUCAAAACGAUCCUCCAUCAACUUCCAUUCCUUAUUAAACAGUUUACGGUAAUGAACGGGGUCCCUAG